UCUAUCUAAAUUCCCCCAUUCAUUCCCCCCUUUUGUUUCUCACGAUCUGAAAUCCCCAAUCCCUAACCUAACACUCCCUCGUCGUCGAGACUGGUUCCCAAGCCCGAUCUCUCCCAAAUCUUCUUCUUCCUCUCCUCUCGCGAUUCCUGGAUUCACGUUCUCGAACAGAUUGCCAAGGGCGAUCUCAAAUACCCUCUCAAAUCCGAUUUCAUCAAACUCGUCUUCACCUUCGACAAACUCCAAACCUCCGAUUUUUACUUCUCCAAAAUCAGUCUCACCAAUCCCAAUCUAUUAACUCUCCUCUGCUUGAGGUCGAGUUCAACGAAUAAGCUCUACACUUUGAGAGUCGAAAACACUCUAAGAGCAAAACUUCGAGAACGAAAUUCUAGGGUUUUUUCCUUACAUUUUUGUUCGAUUUCGAAAUGCAUAAGUUGGUAGGGUUAUCAAGCAUGAGGAGCUUGGAUCAAUUCAAGUCGUUGUCAGGAUCUGUUUCAGGAGCAGCCAAAACCUACUCGAUUUCUUCACGACCAUCCUCAGAUUCGGUUUCGUACGGUAAGUGUUCUUGUUCUUGUUCUUCAUCUGAGAGAUAGAGACAGUAAUUGUUGAUCCAAAAUGCAUUCGAAUCACUUGCUUCUCGAAGAACCUUUACGGAUGGCUUCAAUCCUUGAGCCUUCCAAGCCUGUAUGUUACACAAAUCCUACUGAUCUCACUUAUAUUCUCCUUACUACUCUAACCUACAUGUUUCUUUGCGUUUAUACUCCUUUUUUAUGAUCAAUUUGAAUUUGAAUUUUUUAGAUAUUUUCAUGCAGUUUUGCUACUUUUAUUUUUUUUAAAAUAUUAAAUUUGCUAAUUUAAAAUGAACUAGGUCCUAAAAAUCUCCAAGAGUCUAUGUUUGUUUGUGUAUUUUCUCUAAAUUCGUAAAUGUACAUACACACACACAAACACAUAAUUUAUUUAUUUAUUAUUUAUUAUCUGCCCAAGUAAGUUGUUUUUGAGAGUCUUCUUUGAGAUAGCAUAGCUUCUAUGUGUACUUUGACCAACUAUCUGCACAACUGAUGUGAUUAAUUUUAAUGAUCAUAUGGUUUUUAGGGGCACUUUUUCUGGAUACAAUAUGAAUAUCAAGAAAAUAGUGGUAUUAAUAUCCUUGAAU